rnacentral:sRNA from 1 species
AGCAGCCGCGGUAAUUCCAGCUCCAAUAGCGUAUAUUAAAGUUGUUGCGGUUAAAAAGCUCGUAGUUGAAUUUCGGGGUCAGUAGGUUGGUCGUGCCACAGGUAUGCACUGGUCUCACUGAUUCCUCCUUCCUGAUGAACCGUAAUGCCAUUAAUUUGGUGUUGCGGGGAGACUGGACUGUUACUUUGAAAAAAUUAGAGUGUUUAAAGCAGGCUAACGCUUGAAUACAUUAGCAUGGAAUAACGGAAUAGGACGUUCGAUCUUAUUUUGUUGGUUUCUAAGAUUGACGUAAUGAUUAAUAGGGAUAGUUGGGGGCAUUAGUAUUCAAUUGUCAGAGGUGAAAUUCUUGGAUUUAUUGAAGACUAACUACUGCGAAAGCAUUUGCCAAGGAUGUUUUCAUUAAUCAAGAACGAAAGUUAGGGGAUCGAAGACGAUCAGAUACCGUCGUAGUCUUAACCAUAAACUAUGCCGACUAGGGAUCGGAUGAUGUUAAUUUUUUAAUGACUCAUU